CCUGAAGUCCUGAGUUCAAUUCCCAGCAACCAUCUGUAAGUGGAUCCCAUGCCCUCUUCUGGUGUGUCUGAAGACAGCUACAGUGUACUCACAUACAUAAAAUAAAUAUAUCUAUUAAAAAAGGUAGAAGUUUAAUGAUGGUUACCUCUGGUAAAGUGAAGCAGAUGCAGAGAGAGAACUUUUUAAAAACUUUCUGGGGGAGCUGGAGAGAUGGCUCAGCGGUUAAGAGCACUGACUGCUCUUCCAGAGGUCCUGAGUUCAAUUCCCAGCAACCACAUGGUGGCUCACAACCAUCUGUAAUGGGGUCUGGAUGCCUUCUUGUGUUGUGUCUAAAGACAGCUACAGUGUACUCAUAGACAUAAAAUAAAUAAAUCUUUAAAAAAAAAAA
rnacentral:lncRNA from 1 species